rnacentral:rRNA from 1 species
UACGGAGGGAGCUAGCGUUGUUCGGAAUUACUGGGCGUAAAGCGCGCGUAGGCGGCUUUGUAAGUUAGAGGUGAAAGCCCGGAGCUCAACUCCGGAACUGCCUUUAAAACUGCAUCGCUUGAAUCCAGGAGAGGUGAGUGGAAUUCCGAGUGUAGUGGUGAAAUUCGUAGAUAUUCGGAAGAACACCAGUGGCGAAGGCGGCUCACUGGACUGGUAUUGACGCUGAGGUGCGAAAGCGUGGGGAGCAAACAGG